UACUGAGCAAAAGUGAAGGAUUGUCUUUGGGUUUUUUGGGUUUUUCUUGUAUUUUGUUGUAGUUUGGCAUUUUUUGUUCGUACAUCAAAACAAUCCAUUUAAUGCAUUUGUAACUUGUUACUUAAAGUGUAAUAACUAAUAUUUCACUGUAUUUUGUGUAAUAUGUUAUAUUCCUCAGUUACUGAAAAAAGUAAUAUAUUUAUGUAACUUGUUACUUUUGUAAUACAUUACCCUCAACACUGAACCUGAACAUGACGACGCCAGAGCAAUGUUUUGGGAUUUGUAAUGGACUCGUCCCAUGAACACAACACAAGGUAAGAAAAAGCUUUAGUGAAAGUUAUUCUGAAGAGAAAUACUGUAUGUCGGAGAACUUCUGAAAUACUCUAGCUCUGUUGUGUGCACUGCAGUGUGUGCACUCUUGGGUGUUAUUUAAAUAUAUAUUUGCAAUUGGAAAUAACCUACACAAAUACGUAGUGCUGUGAUAUAAUGCGAGAUUGCAAAAGCGUUUUGGAGAUACACUUUUAUGUUGAUCAAAACAUUAAAAUAUUUACCAAUGAGCAUUUAUUUCAAACAAUAAGUGUUUAAUGCACUUGUAGUCCUUUCUCGGUCAUAUUUGAUGAUUUUUUUUACCAUUUAAUUUGCUCAAAUAAUAUAAUCACCUGACCUGAACCAUUCACCUGCAGCGUCUCGAUUUAACAUUGACUUGAUCAGGUUCUAAUGCAACCCUUUGAGUAAAACUCCGUCACUUUUUUCAUGAUCACUUUUCUCUCUCUCUCAUUACUUAAUUAUUGGGAAUUUUAGGUUAUUUGUCUAUUUCUUUUUUUAUUAUUUGUGGAUUUCACUUUACUUCGCACACCUCUCGUUCUGGAACAGGUGCAUAAGAAAAGGCACAGUGUACAAAACAUUUUUUCUUGUUUUCCGCUUUCUAAACCAAAAAACAACAAAAGUCACACGAGGCUCAAAGUUUUGCUUCAGGCGGGUCACCAGGUGGUUUCACUGUGGUCUUUGUUUCUGAAAACAAAUAAACAGAGUGAACGUUCCAAUA
rnacentral:lncRNA from 1 species